rnacentral:misc_RNA from 1 species
GAUGAAGAACGUAGUGAAAUGCGAUACUUGGUGUGAAUUGCAGAAUCCCGUGAACCAUCGAGUCUUUGAACGCAAGUUGCGCCCGAAGCCAUUAGGCCGAGGGCACGCCUGCCUGGGCGUCACACGUCGUUGCCCCCCCAUCUACUCCUUCGGGAUUGCGGGGGGCGGAUGAUGGCCUCCCGUGCGCCUCGCCGCGCGGUUGGCAUAAAUGCCAAGUCCUCGGCGACGCACGCCACGACAAUCGGUGGUUGCGAAACCUCGGUUGCCCGUCGUGUGCGGUCGUCGCGCAUCGAGGGCUCGAAAAAAUUGCCGGGUUCCGGCUCGGCUUUCAACGCGACCCCAGGUCAGGCGGGGUUACCCGCUGAAUUUAAGCAUAUCAUAAGCGGAGGA